AAUUAAUAAGCUUUUAAAAGCAUUUGUUUUGAAAACUUAAGAAAGAGAAUUUACUCUAUUAAUUU
rnacentral:tRNA from 1 species